rnacentral:rRNA from 1 species
GGCCCUUACGAGUAGGGCUACACACGUGCUACAAUGGCAGAUACAAAGAGAAGCGACCUCGCGAGAGCAAGCGGAACUCAUAAAGUCUGUCGUAGUCCGGAUUGGAGUCUGCAACUCGACUCCAUGAAGUCGGAAUCGCUAGUAAUCGUAGAUCAGAAUGCUACGGUGAAUACGUUCCCGGGCCUUGUACACACCGCCCGUCACACCAUGGGAGUGGGUUGCAAAAGAAGUAGGUAGCUUAACCUUCGGGAGGGCGCUUACCACUUUGUGAUUCAUGACUGGGGUGAAGUCGUAACAAGGUAACCGUAGGGGAACCUGCGGUUGGAUCAC